rnacentral:rRNA from 1 species
CUUGCUCAGAUAUGACGAUGGACAUUGCAAAGAGUGGCGAACGGGUGAGUAACACGUGGGAAACCUACCUCUUAGCAGGGGAUAACAUUUGGAAACAGAUGCUAAUACCGUAUAACAAUGACAACCGCAUGGUUGUUAUUUAAAAGAUGGUUCUGCUAUCACUAAGAGAUGGUCCCGCGGUGCAUUAGCUAGUUGGUAAGGUAAUGGCUUACCAAGGCGAUGAUGCAUAGCCGAGUUGAGAGACUGAUCGGCCACAAUGGGACUGAGACACGGCCCAUACUCCUACGGGAGGCAGCAGUAGGGAAUCUUCCACAAUGGGCGAAAGCCUGAUGGAGCAACGCCGCGUGUGUGAUGAAGGGUUUCGGCUCGUAAAACACUGUUGUAAGAGAAGAAUGACAUUGAGAGUAACUGUUCAAUGUGUGACGGUAUCUUACCAGAAAGGAACGGCUAAAUACGUGCCAGCAGCCGCGGUAAUACGUAUGUUCCAAGCGUUAUCCGGAUUUAUUGGGCGUAAAGCGAGCGCAGACGGUUAUUUAAGUCUGAAGUGAAAGCCCUCAGCUCAACUGAGGAAUUGCUUUGGAAACUGGAUGACU